rnacentral:rRNA from 1 species
AGACACGGCCCAGACUCCUACGGGAGGCAGCAGGGGGGAAUAUUGCACAAUGGGGGAAACCCUGAUGCAGCGACGCCGCGUGGAGGAAGAAGGUCUUCGGAUUGUAAACUCCUGUUGUUGGGGAAGAUAAUGACGGUACCCAACAAGGAAGUGACGGCUAACUACGUGCCAGCAGCCGCGAUAAAACGUAGGUCACAAGCGUUGUCCGGAAUUACUGGGUGUAAAGGGAGCGCAGGCGGGAAGACAAGUUGGAAGUGAAAUCUAUGGGCUCAACCCAUAAACUGCUUUCAAAACUGUUUUUCUUGAGUAGUGCAGAGGUAGGCGGAAUUCCCGGUGUAGCGGUGGAAUGCGUAGAUAUCGGGAGGAACACCAGUGGCGAAGGCGGCCUACUGGGCACCAACUGACACUGAGGCUCGAAAGUGUGGGUAGCAAACAGAAAUAGAUACCCUGGUAGUCCACACCGUAAAAAAAAAUUACUAGGUGUUGGAGGAUUGGCCCCCUUCAGUGGCCGCAUUUAACACAAUAAGUAAUCCACUUGGGGAGUACGACCGCAAGGGUUGAAACUCAAAGGAAUUGACGGGGGCCCGCACAAGCAGUGGAGUAUGUGGUUUAAUUCGACGCAACGCGAAGAACCUUACCAAGUCUUGACAUCCCUUGACAGGCAUAGAAAUAUGUUUUCUCUUCGGAGCAAGGAGACAGGUGGUGCAUGGUUGUCGUCAGCUCGUGUCGUGAGAUGUUGGGUUAAGUCCCGCAACGAGCGCAACCCUUAUGGUCAGUUACUACGCAAGAGGACUCUGGCCAGACUGCCGUUGACAAAACGGAGGAAGGUGGGGAUGACGUCAAAUCAUCAUGCCCUUUAUGACUUGGGCUACACACGUACUACAAUGGCGUUAAACAAAGAGAAGCAAGACCGCGAGGUGGAGCAAAACUCAGAAACAACGUCCCAGUUCGGACUGCAGGCUGCAACUCGCCUGCACGAAGUCGGAAUUGCUAGUAAUCGUGGAUCAGCAUGCCACGGUGAAUACGUUCCCGGGCCUUGCACACACCGCCCGUCA